rnacentral:rRNA from 1 species
CGAACGGUUGUAGCAAUACAGCAGUGGCGCACGGGUGAGUAACACGUGGGAAUCUGCCUGAUAGUGGGGGAUAACCAAGGGAAACUUUGGCUAAUACCGCAUACGCCCUUAGGGGGAAAGAUUUAUCGCUAUCAGAUGAGCCCGCGCGAGAUUAGCUAGUUGGUGAGGUAAUGGCUCACCAAGGCUAUGAUCUCUAGCUGGUCUGAGAGGACGACCAGCCACACUGGAACUGAGACACGGUCCAGACUCC